rnacentral:misc_RNA from 1 species
GUGAUUAAAUCGAGCGUGUCUUCAUUGACCGCUCACCCUUCUCACCAUCCACAUACACCUGUGCACUGUUUAGCCUGAGCCGGUUUUCCGGUCCAGGUUAUCAUUUCAUACGAAACUCUAGUCUUAUGAAUGUAAACGUUUUAAUAACAUAAUA